AGAAUAUAUAAUUAAAGCCGCUAACUUUAAAAGUAACAAUAUGUUAAUAUUCUA
rnacentral:tRNA from 1 species